UCUAUUUGAAUAAUUUUUAUUUUUUAAAGAUUAAUGAGUUAUUGAUGAUUCACGGUUCCUUUGACUCAAGGGGUUGCUCUUUCUUUACAAUUUACACUUGCAUAAUUGCAGACUUAAUUAAAUACACAAAAUCUAUGUAUUUUCAUUGAUUGAUAGUGUUUUUAUAAGCAACCUAAGUUUCUGUUCCAUGUUAAUGAAUGUUACAAAUUGCUUAUAAUUCAACACAGAACAAAAUACUAGUCAAAUUGCACUUUCUUUAUAUAUCUGUCAUGCAUUAGACUAAGAAUUAACUUGGUAACUACAUUUCUGCUGGUGAUCUUGAGCUGCAAAUCUACUCAUCAAAAUGGCAUUCGUUACGAAACCUAACAUUUUUGUACUUGUAUUCAUCCUCUUGUCAAUUUAUGGCGCUCUGAGCACUUCUGCAUCCUCGCUUCAUCAACGUGAGAAGCAAAACUUAAGGUGGUUUUCGGAUUGCCUGAGUGGACAUAGAAAGCUGGGUCUUGUGGACUGUGGAGGUGGUUCGGCAAACAUGAACAGAGCUAAUUAUUGGUCGGAAAGUCUGAAAUCAUCACUAUCGCCGCCACCAGCACCUGUCAAGAGAGUUGUAACACGUUCUGGAAUUGCUUCUCCGCUAAGCAAAUAAUGAUCCAAUGACUAGAUAUUUCUCCUAGAUCGUGCAUACCUAGAUUUUCACGAUGUGCAUACUUGGGUUUUGUAUUGAUACUUAAUCAAAGAAUUGUUUUGAUAUAGAAUGUCAAUUUCUAUAAA